UACGAAGGGUGCAAACGUUGCUCGGAAUCAUUGGGCGUAAAGCGCACGUAGGCGGCUCCGCAAGUCGGAUGUGAAAUCCCUCGGCUCAACCGAGGACGUGCAUCCGAAACUGCAGAGCUUGAGUAUGGAAGAGGGUCGCGGAAUCCCCGGUGUAGAGGUGAAAUUCAUAGAUAUCGGGGGGAACACCAGUGGCGAAGGCGGCGACCUGGGCCAAUACUGACGCUGAGGUGCGAAAGCGUGGGGAGCGAACAGG
rnacentral:rRNA from 1 species